rnacentral:rRNA from 1 species
GGCCAGCAGCCGCGGUAAGACGUAGGAUGCAAGCGUUGUCCGGAUUUACUGGGCGUAAAGAGUUCGUAGGUGGCAUAUCAAGUCUGGUGUUAAAUCCCGGGGCUCAACUCCGGAUCGGCACUGGAAACUGAUAAGCUAGAGUACAGUAGAGGCAAGGGGAAUUCCCAGUGUAGCGGUGAAAUGCGUAGAUAUUGGGAGGAACACCGGUGGCGUAAGCGCCUUGCUGGGCUGUUACUGACGCUGAGGAACGAAAGCCAGGGGAGCAAAUGGGAUUAGAUACCCCAGUAGUCCUGGCCGUAAACGAUGGAUACUAGGUGUUACGAGUAUCGACCCUCGUAGUGCCGUAGCUAACGCGAUAAGUAUCCCGCCUGGGGAGUACGCACGCAAGUGUGAAACUUAAAGGAAUUGGCGGGGGA